GAUGAACGCUGGCGGCGUGCCUAAUACAUGCAAGUCGAGCGAACAGAUGAGGAGCUUGCUCCUCUGACGUUAGCGGCGGACGGGUGAGUAACACGUGGAUAACCUACCUAUAAGACUGGGAUAACUUCGGGAAACCGGAGCUAAUACCGGAUAAUAUAUUGAACCGCAUGGUUCAAUAGUGAAAGACGGUUUUGCUGUCACUUAUAGAUGGAUCCGCGCCGCAUUAGCUAGUUGGUAAGGUAACGGCUUACCAAGGCGACGAUGCGUAGCCGACCUGAGAGGGUGAUCGGCCACACUGGAACUGAGACACGGUCCAGACUCCUACGGGAGGCAGCAGUAGGGAAUCUUCCGCAAUGGGCGAAAGCUUGGCGGAGCAACGCCGCGUGAGUGAUGAAGGUCUUCGGAUCGUAAAACUCUGUUAUUAGGGAAGAACAAAUGUGUAAGUAACUAUGCACGUCUUGACGGUACCUAAUCAGAAAGCCACGGCUAACUACGUG
rnacentral:rRNA from 1 species